UUUCCGGUUGAUCCUGCCGGACCCCACUGCUAUCGGGAUAGGACUAAGACAUGCUAGUCGAGUGACUCAGGCAAAACGAGUCACGGCACACAGCUCAGUAACACGUGGCUAAUCUGCCCUUGGGACUAGAACAACCCCGGGAAACUGGGGCUAACUCUAGAUAGGUGAAGAACUCUGGAAUGAGUCUUUGCCUAAAUAGGUUCACGUUAUCCUCGUGAACUUGCCCAAGGAUGAGGCCGCGACCGAUCAGGUUGUUGGCGAGGUAAUGGCUCACCAAGCCUUUUACCGGUGCGGGCCGUGGGAGCGGGAGCCCGGAGAUGGGUACUGAGACAAGGACCCAGGCCCUACGGGGCGCAGCAGUCGCGAAACCUUUGCAAUACACGAAAGUGUGACAGGGCUAUCCCGAGUGCCAUCCGCUGAGGAAGGCUUUUACCCAGUCUAGAACGCUGGGGGAAUAAGGAGAGGGCAAGUCUGGUGUCAGCCGCCGCGGUAAUACCAGCUCUCCGAGUGGUGUGGAUGUUUAUUGGGCCUAAAGCAUCCGUAGCUGGCUAGGUAAGUCCCUUGUUAAAUCCACCGAAUUAAUCGUUGGAUCGCGGGGGAUACUGCUUGGCUAGGGGACGAGAGAGGCAGACGGUAUUUUCGGGGUAGGGGUGAAAUCCUAUAAUCCCGGGAAGACCACCAGUGGCGAAGGCUGUCUGCUAGAACGCGCCCGACGGUGAGGGAUGAAAGCUGGGGGAGCGAACCGGAUUAGAUACCCGGGUAGUCCCAGCUGUAAACGAUGCAGACUAGGUGUUUGAACGGCCACGUGCCGUUCUAGUGCCGCAGGGAAGCUGUUAAGUCUGCCGCCUGGGGAGUACGAUCGCAAGAUUGAAACUUAAAGGAAUUGGCGGGGGAGCACCACAAGGGGUGAAGCUUGCGGUUUAAUUGGAUUCAACGCCGGA
rnacentral:rRNA from 1 species